GGAUACCUGCUGUGCGCGUGAUGUCGCACCCGGUUUUGAGCCAACACCCAUCAAGAGGGCAUUCGUUUCUAGGGAUGGCGCGGUAGACUCCGGUCAAGGCGUUGACUCUAGUAAGAUGACCCACCUGCGAAAGCAGGUUCAAAACAGCGCAACACACGGCAUGGCGGGUUUUUU
rnacentral:other from 1 species